AUGAUGUGGGCAGGACGAGCGGAGGCCUCCGCCUGGGAGCCUGGGCUCGGGGCCCGUGGGCCCUUUGCCCCGUGCCUUUCCCUGAAAGCCACGAGGACGACGGCCCAGCUGCGUCCGUGGCCCCGGGCGGCUCCCUCGGCCACGCGGCACCCCGGGGAGGAGGGGCCCCUCCCAGAGCGGGGUUCCGUGGCCCUGGGAGCCCGUGCGCGCCGCUGCCGCCCGGUCCCGGGGCAUUCCCCUGUGCGUCUUAGGGAGGGAGGUGAGCCGCGGGGGCGUCCGGUGGAGUGUGUUCGCAGACGGUCCUGGACCGGGUGGACGGAGGGCCAGGCCCCUCCCCACCCCCACCCCACCCCAGCCCCCGUCCCGCGACCCGUCGCCCUCGCCUUGUGGAGACGUGUGACCCCGUCUUGUUGUGCCCAUGUCACCGAGGUUGUGUUGGAGCGGGGCCGUCGUAUGCCGUCCUGCUCCUUUCCGCCUGGGGGCCUUCCGGGGACCCCGGUCGCCUUUGCUGGUUCCCAGGUGCUUGACCUGUGAUCAGAGGCGCACCGAUCCAUGGGUUCGGUGGCCACGUUUGAGUAAGGGAGACUCUCUGGGCAUCAGCUAAGGGGGACCGGGGCCUUCCCAGGCCUGGUGAAGUCCGGGAAGCCGAGAGCACCCAGGAGGAAGGGACCCGUCGGGCUCGGCCUGGGGACAGGCUGCUCCACGUCAGAAGGGCCUGCUGGUCAGGCAGUGGCAUCCCCGUGCCUGUCCUCAAGUGGGUGUCUGAGGUGGAACGGGGCCAGGCCUCAUGGGGCGUGCAGGGAUGAGGCUCGGAGGACGCCUCUCUUUGCAGGACCGGGUCUGGUUUUGCAGCAGGCCCGGCCAUUGCCCGGUGCUUUCUGGCCCUCCCCAGGGUGUUUAGGAGUCUUCCUAGUGAACAGGGCCUCAAGUCCAAAGAGUAGUGAUCAGCACCCCUUCGCAGCAUUCAGGAUUGAAAUAGGAAGGUAGAGGUGACGGGUGGAAUGUUUCUUGUUUUGUUUUCGUUUGUUUUGGUUUGGUUUUGUGAGGACUGAACGAAGGCACAAAAGGAGGCCAUGGGACUCUGAGGCCAGAAACCUUGGAACCAGAGGACUGAAAGCAGAACAUGUCUCGAGGGUUCAUGGUCCCCCCUUUAGCCCGAAUCCAG
rnacentral:lncRNA from 13 species